rnacentral:rRNA from 1 species
UUUUUUUUUUUUUUUUUUUUUUUUUUUUUUUAAAAAAUUUUUUUUCUGUCUCUUAUUUUUUUACAUUUGAUUUUCUUUGAUUUAGUUGAUUGUACUGUGAAGGAUCAUUAAGUUUUAUUUUAGAAUAAUUGUUUUUUUAAGUACCUUUUGUAUCAGGGUUAACUAAUUUUUUUGAUUUAUUUUAAUUUCCCGAAAAUUUAAGAUUUACUUUUAUCUUUAAUUUAGUGUUGAAUAAUUAUUUAUAAGAUUUAAGUUGUUUUGAAAUGAAAUUCGUUUUUUUUUAUAUCUGGUUACCUGGGAUUCUGAUUCAAUCAGGGAUUUUUUUUUGUCUUUUUUAUUUUUUAUAUUCAUUUUAAAAUCUUAGAUUUGGGUGGAUAAGCUCCUUUUUUAUAUAUAAUUUUCCUUAUUAUUUUUUUUUGUUGGAUUGAAGUCUUUUAACAUUUUAAGUUCGUUGAAGAUUAAUUAUUUUUUUACUUUUUAUUUAUUUUUUUACUAGGUUUUUAAUAAUUUUUUAGGGUUUAAAAAUGGUUUUAUUAGUAAAUUUAAAAAUUUUUUUUAUGAACUCGGCAAAUAUUACUUCCGCCUGUUUAUCAAAAACAUGUCUUCCAGGGUUUAAUUGGAGGUUUGGCCUGCUCAAUGCAUAGUAAAUAGCCGCAGUAUUUUGACUGUGCUAAGGUAGCAUAAUAAUUAGUCUUUUAAUUGGGGUCUAGGAUGAAGGGUUAGACGAGAAGUAAACUUUAUUAUCUUAAUUUUAUUUGAAUUUUAUUUUUUAGUAAAAAAGCUAAAUUGUUGAAGAGGGACGAUAAGACCCUAUAGAUCUUUAUUUUUUUCCAUUUUUUUUUAUUUUAGUUUAUUUUAGAUUUUUUUUGGUUAUAAAUUUUGCUGGGGUGGUAGAUAAAAUUUUAAUCUUUAUUUUUUUUUUACAUUUCUUUAUGUGAUUUUGAUCCUUUUUUUUGAUUAUAAGAUUAAGAUACCUUAGGGAUAACAGCGUGAUAAUUCUGGAGAGUUCAUAUUGAUAGAGUUGUUUGCGACCUCGAUGUUGGAUUAAAAAUUUCUGUGAGGCAGGUUUUACAGUUUAGGGUCUGUUCGACCUUUAAAAUUUUACAUGAUCUGAGUUCAAGCCGGCGUGAGCCAGGUUGGUUUCUAUCUUCUUUAAUUUAAUUCUAAUUGGUACGAAAGGAUUUUUAGAAAUGUAAUAUUUUACUU